rnacentral:rRNA from 1 species
CCUACGGGAGGCAGCAGUGAGGAAUAUUGGUCAAUGGACGAGAGUCUGAACCAGCCAAGUAGCGUGAAGGAUGACUGCCCUAUGGGUUGUAAACCUCUUUUAUCAGGGAAUAAAAUGCUCCACGUGUGGCAUUUUGUAUGUACCUUAUGAAUAAGGAUCGGCUAACUCCGUGCCAGCAGCCGCGGUAAUACGGAGGAUCCGAGCGUUAUCCGGAUUUAUUGGGUUUAAAGGGGGCGUAGGUGGAUUGUCAAGUCAGUUGUGAAAGUUUGGGGCUCAACCGUAGAAUUGCAGUUGAAACUGGCAGUCUUGAGUACAGUAGAGGUAGGCGGAAUGCGUGGUGUAGCGGUGAAAUGCUUAGAUAUCACGAAGAACUCCGAUUGCGAAGGCAGCUCACUGGAGUGCAACUGACACUGAGGCACGAAAGUGUGGGUAUCGAACAGGAUUAGAUACCCCAGUAGUC